GUGUUUUUCUCAACAGCCGUUGCUAAUGAAAAUUUGUGGAAAGUGCAGUAAACCACAGAAAAAUUAAAAUACGGAGCAGAACUGGCCCCGAACAUUAGUGAAGACAAGGUGAAAAACUAGGAAAACAACGUAUGGGUACGAGUAUACUGUGCCUGAAUCAGACCGUGAGUUUUGGACAUUUCCAGGCCGAGAAAAAUGUUGCGCAGCAAGAACCAUCCGAAGGCGAUGUUUCGCGGGAUUUUCAGUACGAAUUCGAUGGUACCCAGGAAGUGAUGAUGAUUAUAGACAUGCCCCAAAAGUACCGGAUGCGAUGCGAUCAUGGGAGAAAUAAACGGUUACUGUUUAGUACAUUCAUCCAGGCUACCGAUUCAUCAAAAAAUAAUCUGGUCACCCUACUGUGAACUGCUGUAAACAGCUCAAACGCUACUCCCACUGAAUUCCGUGAAGUAAAGUCGCGAUCGCAAGACGAAAAAACCGAGCGAAUACCAUACAUCCCACCGUCGGAAACACCCAACGUGAAGCUGCCACAUCGGAGGACAAUAGCAAGCAACCACCCUGUGACAUGGAUCGACACGAAAACCUGGAGAAACAACGCCUUGAAUACCAACGUCACUUGAAAGCCAGCCGCCUGAUGAACAUGGCAAACCUCCGAAAAACCCAAAGUGUCCAACGAACACUUGGCAAUGCCCGCAACCAGUAAAGCCAGUGGUCGUCAGAUGAACAUUCGGACUGCUCCAUAUACUGAACCUAUCACCAAUGUGGUCCCCACAACGCGCAUAGAGUGAGCAAAAUCUCGUCAGCAAAUCGACAGCUGCCCAGCAAAUCGGAACACUCUCGGAUGAUAGACAAUCGGCAGCACAUGGACAUCCACAGCUCAAGGGCGGAUUCGCAAUAGAAAGUCCCUAUUAUGGACCACCUUGGUAAAGACUCAGGGUGGCCAUUGAACCAGGAAACAGACGGGAAAUUGAAGUCAUCGGCAAAAAAAUUUCAUGCCGGGAAAAAUAAAUUCUCGUUAAGUAGGGGAACAGACGGCUUUGGCAGGUUUUGUUCUAUUAUUGGCA